GACGAACGCUGGCGGCGUGCUUAACACAUGCAAGUCGAGCGGUAAGGCCCUUUCGGGGGUACGACGAGCGGCGAACGGGUGAGUAACACGUGGGUGACCUGCCCUCAGCUCUGGGAUAAGCCUGGGAAACCGGGUCUAAUACUGGAUAUGACUCCAUGACGCAUGUUGUGGGGUGGAAAGCCUUGUGCGGCUGAGGAUGGGCCCGCGGCCUAUCAGCUUGUUGGUGGGGUGAUGGCCUACCAAGGCGACGACGGGUAGCCGGCCUGAGAGGGCGACCGGCCACACUGGGACUGAGACACGGCCCAGACUCCUACGGGAGGCAGCAGUGGGGAAUCCUGCGCAAUGGGCGAAAGCCUGACGCAGCGACGCCGCGUGA
rnacentral:rRNA from 1 species